rnacentral:lncRNA from 1 species
AAAAAUUUAUUACAGUACAGUGUAGUACCAAAUAUUGUACAGUAUUAUUAUAAUACAAUGCUAAUGCAGUACAAUAUAAUACAAUACACCAGCAUUAAAAUAAUACAAUACAACAUAAUACAAUACAUGUACCAAACGCACCCUAAAUGCCUAAGAUGCCCCCAUGAGCAAUGGUUUUACUUGUUAUGAAUUAUGUAAAUGGUGGAUAAUUUUAACCAUCAAACAAAUUUUUUAUUUCCAAAGCUCAAUAACAUACACCAAUCAUUGUCUCUUUUAUCAUGCUUUGGAUGAGCUUGACACUCUGCAUAAUAUGAAAUUGUAUUGCAUUAUGCAGUAGUCUUAUUUUUAAUAGUAUUAUAGUGCAUUCUUUUUUUCUUUUUUUUUUUUGACAAGUAUUAUAGUGCAUUCUAAUACACCACAAUGCGGCUUCCAAGUCGAACCUUCUUUGCUCAUGUACUUCUCUUCUUUGGGCGCAUGCUCCCCAUUGGGCAGCUUAUACCCUUUUUAGCGCUCGGGUUUGGUUAAUGCGUGGGUUUGCCUCAUUAGCUCUUUUUUCUUUCUUAAGUAAACAAAAGUAAAUUUGUAAUUUAAUAUUCUAUUAUCUAGUAACAUUAUAUAAUAU